rnacentral:rRNA from 1 species
AGAGUUUGAUCCUGGCUCAGGAUGAACGCUAGCUACAGGCUUAACACAUGCAAGUCGAGGGGCAGCAUGGUCUUAGCUUGCUAAGGCCGAUGGCGACCGGCGCACGGGUGAGUAACGCGUAUCCAACCUGCCUUACACUCUUGGACAGCCUUCUGAAAGGGAGAUUAAUACAAGAUGUUAUCAUGAGUAAGCAUUUUCGCAUGAUUAAAGGUUUACCGGUGUAAGAUGGGGAUGCGUUCCAUUAGAUAGUAGGCGGGUAACGGCCACCUAGUCUUCGAUGGAUAGGGGUUCUGGAGAGGAAGGUCCCCCANAUUGGAACUGAGACACGGUCCAAACUCCGUACGGGAGGCA